UACGGCUACCUUGUUACGACUUCACCCCAGUCAUGAACCACACCGUGGUAAUCGCCAUCCCGAAGGUUAAGCUAACUACUUCUGGUGCAACCCACUCCCAUGGUGUGACGGGCGGUGUGUACAAGGCCCGGGAACGUAUUCACCGCGACAUUGCUGAUUCGCGAUUACUAGCGAUUCCGACUUCACGCAGUCGAGUUGCAGACUGCGAUCCGGACUAAGAUCGGCUUUCUGGGAUUAGCUCCCCCUCGCGAGAUUGCGACCCUCUGUACCGACCAUUGUAGCACGUGUGUAGCCCAGCCCAUAAGGGCCAUGAUGACUUGACGUCGUCCCCACCUUCCUCCGGUUUAUCACCGGCAGUCUCCUUAGAGUUCCCACCAUUACGUGCUGGCAAAUAAGGAUAAGGGUUGCGCUCGUUGCGGGACUUAACCCAACAUCUCACGACACGAGCUGACGACAGCCAUGCAGCACCUGUCACUGGAUUCCCGAAGGCACCUAUGUAUCUCUACAAAGUUCCCAGGAUGUCAAGGGCUGGUAAGGUUCUUCGCGUUGCAUCGAAUUAAACCACAUGCUCCACCGCUUGUGCGGGCCCCCGUCAAUCCCUUUGAGUUUCAACCUUGCGGCCGUACUCCCCAGGCGGUCAACUUAACGCGUUAGCUUCGACACAAAGUUCAUUAAAGAACCCUACGUCUAGUUGACAUC
rnacentral:rRNA from 1 species